GAUGCCCAGAGCCCUGCUCAGAAAUGCAGGCACGGGAGGCCCCUCGCAGCUCUGCGGCCCACAGAUGGUUUUACGCUCUGGAGGUCCAUGCUGAGUGGGCCUGGGCUGUCCCUGCGUCCUGCUGGCUGAGUCCUGGGAGGGACAGAGGACGGCCGUUCUCAGUGAAGGACCUUGCUCUCGCUACUGAGGAGUGACCAUGGGCCUGCUCGCCUACCUGAAGACCCAGUUCGUCCUGCACCUCCUCAUCGGGUUCGUCUUUGUGGUGAGCGGGCUGGUCAUCAACUUCAUCCAGCUCUGCACCCUCGUCCUCUGGCCCCUGAACAAGCAGCUGUACCGCCGGCUGAACUGCCGCCUCGCCUACUCGCUCUGGAGCCAGCUGGUCAUGCUGCUGGAGUGGUGGUCCUGCACGCAGUGCACGCUCUUCUCCGACCAGGCCACCAUAGACCGCUUAGGGAAGGAGCACGCCAUCAUCAUCCUCAACCACAACUUCGAGAUCGACUUCCUGUGCGGGUGGACCAUGUGUGAGCGGUUCGGGGUCCUGGGGAGCUCCAAGGUCCUGGCCAAGAGGGAGCUGCUGUGCGUGCCCCUCAUCGGCUGGACGUGGUACUUCCUGGAGAUCGUGUUCUGCAAGAGGAAAUGGGAAGAGGACCGGGACACCGUCAUCGCGGGGCUGAGGUGCCUGGCCAACUACCCUGAGUACAUGUGGUUUCUCCUGUACUGUGAGGGCACGCGCUUCACAGAGAAGAAACACCGCGUCAGCAUGGAGGUGGCCGCCUCCAAGGGGCUGCCCCCCCUCAAGCACCACCUGCUGCCUCGCACCAAGGGCUUCACCACCGCGGUCCAGUGCCUGCGCGGGACAGUCGCAGCCAUCUAUGAUGUCACUCUGAAUUUCCGGGGAAACAAGAACCCGUCUUUGCUGGGGAUCCUCUACGGGAAGAAGUACGAGGCGGAUAUGUGUUUGAGGAGGUUCCCUCUGGAAGAGAUCCCGCAGGAUGAGAAGGAAGCGGCCCAGUGGCUCCAUAAGCUGUACCAGGAGAAGGAUGCUCUGCAGGAGACGUACAACCAGAAGGGCGUGUUUCCAGGGGAGCCCUUCAGACCUGCCCGCCGGCCGUGGACGCUCCUGAAUUUCCUCUUCUGGGCCACGGUUCUCCUGUCUCCUCUGUUCCGCUUUGUCUUGGGCGUCUUUGCAAGCGGCUCUCCCCUCCUGAUCCUCACGUUCCUGGGCUUUGUCGGGGCAGCUUCCUUUGGAGUCCGCCGACUAAUAGGAGUAACUGAAAUAGAAAAAGGCUCCAGCUACGGGAACCAAGAAUUUAAGAAAAAGGAAUAAUUAAUGGCUGUGAUUGAACACACUUAAUUUGAUGGUGGUGUCCGAUUAACUCAAUUAAAAACAGAACCACACACACAGAGGAAAAAAAGACACUUAGAAACUAUUUUCUUAUUAACUGGUGACUAAUAUUAACCAAUAAACUUGAGCCAAGAGUAAAGAAAUCAGAAAGCCUGCCGGAUGGAGACUUCGCAGCGCACCGCAGGGCCGCCUGUCGCUGUGGGAGACCGGGGCGCGGAGGGCAGCGUCUGCUCUGGGCGGUGGCCCCUGGGGUCCGGGAUUCACCCAGCGCCAUCGCUCAAGGACUCUGCUGGCCAGAGAGAGCCUCUGAUGCUUUCUCUUCUUAAACUUGGGUCCCUUUUUUGUUUUUACCUGUGAUUUCGAGAACUCACCCUGGCCCCUCGCCGCUCCCCUGCACCCCCAGCAAACUCUCUUCAGGACUCUUCCCCAGGCCUCCUGGGUGCAGAUGUCACCGCAUCUCUGGUCCCCAAGGCAACCAGCAUCUUGGCUUCCGGACAGUAGGGUGGGGAGCGGGUGGGGGUGGGGCACUGUGGAGAGAAUGCUCUGGGUGAGAAGCACACCCUGGGUGUCGGAUGGAUGGAGCCCGUGCAGGGCUGGCAGCUGGCAGCAGGCAGAGGCUGUGCCGUGUCCUCCCUAAGCCUGGGUGUGAGUGCUCGAGGGUGCGGUGAAUGUAGCUCCUCAGCCCCUCCUCCCUGUGGCCCUGACUGCAGUCCCUCCAUUGGGUGCUGGGAGGGGCCUCACUGGGCCAGUGCCUCUCCCCGCAGCCCCAGAACCUGUAAUGCUUCUUAAGAAGCAGUGUCACCACCCAGCCUGUCUUCUGAGAUGGUUGGAGACUGUUAACACAGGGCUGUUGGCCUCUAGAGAUGCUAUUUUCACAGUUGAUCUGUUGGUGGCUCUCAAGUCCCUGAUGAAAAUGAGCUGUGGCGAGCCUUCCCCCGUCCUGCCACCCUCCCUGCCCUGAGCAGGCACACGUGUCCGGCCGAGGCCUGCUUCUGACCAGGUGGGUGGCCUCCUGGCCUGGUGGUGCCCACACCCCCGGGUGCCCGGUGGAGUGUCUCCCCAGGUCCCGACAGCCUGUGCUUGACUCAUGUCCUCUCAGCAUCCUUUGCAGGCUUGGCCCUGGAGGGAGGUUGGUCCCGCAGAUGGAGCCUGGCUGGCUGGAGGCUGCUGGGCAGACAGAGUGGGAACCAGGGCUCCUCCUGCCUCCCGUGGCUCCGCUCCGCCAUCCCACCGCACACGGCUGCACUGGACUUUCUUCUUAAACCUUCAAGUUGGUUUUUUUAAAGUCACAUUUCCCGCCUCUUUUUUUAGCAAGGGAAAGAAAACUAAUGGGUAUUAUCUCUGACACACUGUAACCAGCAUUCCGAAUAGAGGCAGGUUGGAUUUUCUAGAAAAAUGGAGGAAAGAGACAUAAAAGCAAUUAGAAACUAAGUUGAAAGAACAAUAAUGUACUGGCCCUAAGUGUGUUUGGGGAAGCUUUGUCAGGCUGGCGCGAAGGCGCGUAACAGCGAUGCUCCUGAGGUUUAGGUUGGUGGCGUGACGGCAGGUGCCGAGGACUGCGCCCCAGUUCUGUGCUGCUCGUGUCCCAGGGCGCGUGGAUGCAACUCCUUGUGGGGCUGAAGGGUUAAAACAAAACAGUUCAAAAUGCUUUUGUUCAGAACUAAGCCUGCUUGCCUCUGUCCUGAAGCACACCCCCCCCCACUCCCUCAGGGUGAGCGGCCACCGUCGAGUUGAUUUGUCUUCAUACCGUGCUGCUCAUCUGUCUUCAUGCGUGUUCACCUGUGUCAGUUGCUGAGUCACGAAUGCCUAGAUCAGCUUAAAGGAAACCAGAGGGAGGGUCCUCCUGGACGGAGCCCCACCGGGAAGAUGCAGAUUUAGAUCUUCUCCCACUUAGUUAAUAGUCCUGGUUUCCCAGAUAAGUCCCCUCCCCCUGAAAUCAACUCAUCAUGUGCUGCGAAUUCUCCAUCGAGUCAAUGAAUGAGCUGUGCAGACUCCUGUGAAUGGAGCCUGAGACCGGGGUGUGGGUUUCCAGUCUCAGUGAUUCCUUCCGAUUUAACAUGGAUCAGCUCUUGCAUUGAACACUGAGCCCUUUGGGAGCAAUAAAAACUACACCAGGAAUGUGCAGACUUUUUUUUUUUUUUUUUUUUUUUGAGAGAGAGAGAGAGUGGAUUUUGCUUUUCAUUCACUUCAUAAGGAAAGGGGGAGGGGAGCUCUUUUAAAUUUUUACCUUAAAUUAAUAAAUUGCAGAAUUGUGCUUUUCUUUAUUCUUUGCCUUUACACCCACUACUGAGUUCCAUCUGUUGCUGAUGCUGCCAUCACAUUCAGGCUGAGCGUGGGACAGGCCAUGCUGGUUGCAGUCGGUUGUGCUCUCUAGGCGUAAAGGGCGGGUCCUGGGCCAGUCGAGGCCCGGAGGUGUUUGCUGCCUCUCCCUGCUGGGGGAAGUGUUUGCUGACUCUCUCUGGGGUUGGCUCUGCCACUUGCUCUGUGCCUGGGAACCAGCCCCCUGCUCCUGCUGGGGGGUCGCUGGCUGCGUGUUUCUCAGCUCAGGCCAAGGCCCCACUCUCAGGUGCGAGUCUCCAAGUCCGGUGUCAUCUUCCCCCUCCGUCUCCUGCCCCUGCCCAGUCCGUGGAGUUUGGCCUGUGGGCCUUCCCCAGGUGUCUAGCUGGGGGAGGCCGCAGUUCUUUGGGCCCCUCUGGGUGACUGUGAUAUUUCCAUGGUGACUUUGUAGCAGCUGCCGGGGGCCUCUCUGGCUUCCCUCUCUGGGGUCCUUGUGACAGCACCGUGAGCAGUGACAGUGGGGAGCAGCACGGCUGGUCAGAGGGAGAGCAGGGCAUCGAUUUUGAAUGCUCGUUUUUCAUAUGCCCCCCUUUUCUCCAAACCUGGUGGAGGGUUUGACAUAGCUACCCAUUGACAAGCAUUUCCGCCAGAGAAAGCAGAGGGACAGGCCGUCCCCUGCUUGGUGACAGCCCAUUGGAGGGGCCCCGUCCUCAAGAAGCACAGGAUCCGUGUGAUGAGCUCUGAAUGUAGAAACCACUAAGCCAUCACGAAGCAACAGCGGACACUGCACUUUUUUGUACAGAAACAGUGCAGGUGCGGUCACUGAUCAAGUCUGACUCUACCUUGUCUGUCCCGGUCCCUGGUGUGCGGAGGCAGGAGGACCUCCUUACACUAAAUGAUGGAGCAUGAUUUGGUCUGAAGGAAAGCGGUGGCUGCAGUCACGUGCAGUGCAGGGCUGUCUGGAGGCCGUCCCACACCCACGUGACUACGGUUGUGUCAGGUUUGGGGUGGAGGAGUCACUCUGCAUGUCGCUUUGUCUCUGCCCGAGACACCUAUAGGAUAAGCCAAAUAGAAUCUCUUCAGCCCGGCUGAUAUUCAGCUGAAUUGUUCAACCCUGAGCGUGAGCUCCUGCUGCAAACUUCUCACCAGUAGUGCAUGCUUCCCCCAGCAUGCAACACUUAGCGUCCAAUGGUGUGACGUGGCUUCCAGCCCUCCUGCCGUCUACCGAGGCUGAGGGUUGAAACAGUGGGCCUGCCGUGCCCGCCUGCCUUCUCUCUGGAGGCAGCACGUCCCUGGCCCACGUGCCUGCCCCUUUGUAUAGUGAGUUAGCUCCCAAAGCAAGGGCCAGCCUCUCCGAACGCCCAGGCCUGGGUGCUGGGUGCGCCUCCCUUCCCCCUUCCCCACUCCUGGCCAUACCACCCACUUGCACUGGGCCAGGCCAGGUGCAUGCAGACAUUCGGGUUUCACAUUCUUGCCUAUCAGGGCCAGGACACAAAAACACAGGGACAGCUCUUGGGUAGAUGUCACAUUGUGUUCUGUGUGAUCGAGGGGUGGACACACGUGAGUUACGUGGCAGCACAAGCAUUUGCCCGCUAGCUGAUUCAGUGAAAACGGUGGCCUUCUCACACACCACUCGGGGAAUUAAAGGACAAGACCACUUUCAGGGAGUCCGGGAAAUUCCCAGAGACGCUGACACCAGUCGGCCUCAGUGGCAGCCAGGCAUUCUUUUUCAGAGACAAUUGGAUCGCUUUAAAUUUUUAAGCUUUGUAAUGGCAAGUUCACCUGGAAUUUCCUUUUCUCGUAAACUUUCCUUUCUUAACCUUUUUGUUGCAUAAGCACUUGGACAGAAGUCAAAACUGUGAAUGAGAUACUGAAAUGCACUAAAUUGUAUUAAAUUAAACUGGAGUUACUUGAUAACAAUGAA